rnacentral:rRNA from 1 species
UACGGAGGGUGCAAGCGUUAUCCGGAUUUACUGGGUUUAAAGGGUGCGUAGGCGGGUAGGUAAGUCAGUGGGGAAAUCUCCGAGCUUAACUCGGAAACUGCCUUUGAUACUAUUUAUCUUGAAUAUUGUGGAGGUAAGCGGAAUAUGUCAUUUAGCGGUGAAAUGCUUAGAUAUGACAUAGAACACCUAUUGCGAAGGCAGGUUACUGGUGCGCAACUGACACUGAGGCACGAAAGCUAGGGGAGCAAACAGG